UUGAGGCUAUGGGUGAUACAAUUCAACCUCAGCAUCAAUCUAUUUCAUCAAUCAAAGAGUCGAAAAGUAUGUUCAAUAUGAAUGUGGAUCAAGAAACAUUCGGCAGUGCAGUGAGUGAAUCUGUUUCUAAGUCUUCCAGGGGAGAAGUUAAGAUCCACUUUUCUGAGACCAGAAAUUUCAACAAACCUCGGGAAGUUAACAAUAAAAUUGAGGUGUCUCAACCUCCUCCUGUAAAACCUCAACAAACACUUAGAUCCACCCGGAGUAGGUCCGAAGGGAUGUCUACCAGAAGAGUACAGCUUU
rnacentral:misc_RNA from 1 species